rnacentral:misc_RNA from 1 species
AAGAGUUGCAAAACUCCCACAAACCAUCGCGAACGUUACCCAGACGUCGUUGCUUCGGCGGGCUCGCCCGCCGGGGGGACGCUACCAGACUCUUGCAGGUUAUUCGGCCUCUCUGAGUAUGAUUUUUUAAAUAAGUCA